rnacentral:lncRNA from 1 species
GAAUAAAUAUAGUUAUUUAUAAAUUCUAUCAAUCCUUUUUUUUUCGUCUUAUGUCAGUAUCUUUACCACCCUAGUACAAGAGAGAUUAAAUUGCAAGAUAGAAUUAGUUAGUACAUCAGUGACGUUCCCUAGGAAGAUCUUUAAGGAAAAAUGCAAGGUCCUGAACCAAAGAUCUGUAAUAUAGAGAAAAUAGUAACAGAACCAUCAAAACUCCUGUUUCUCUCCAUAUUGUCCACAAAAUGAAACUGGGGUAUCAAGCCUAUAUAGUCUUCUUGCGCCCACCAUCUUGAAUCCCCUCCACCUUUCAGUUCAGCAGAUAUAGAGUUCUUGACCACCCGUUGGAUACCCAAUAAGCUGAUCUUGGAUUGGAAAGCCUUCUUCCUUUCUUACACCUUAAGAGAAGAUGACAGAGCAAUUGUGACAAUGCAACCUCUCUUACUCAAAUUAUCCAGGGUAAGUUCGCUCAAAAAAGAAAAAGAAAAGAAAAAUUAUCCACAGUAAGAAAGAAUACUCCCCAGGCAGCUUCCCUUACAAAAAACACCAUUCAGAGGGAAAAUUUGCUUUUCCAUUGAAGCAGAUUUAUCAAGGACAAGAUCUCAAUUCUGCAGGGCAUGGAUUUGAAGAAGAAGGUACACCCUUAGACAAGCUCCAGAUCGGUUUGUUAUCUAAUUUGGGAUGUAUAGAAUGGGACUUCAAGGGCAAGCAAGAAACGAAUCUCCUUAUUGUUCAGAUUACAAGAAAGUUAUGUAAUAGCCCUAACCCUUUCAUUUUUGUAACUUGCAAUGCCAUAAAUAAUUGGGAAGCAGGAGCUCAAAAGGUUGACCACCACAGCCCCUAUCACCCCAAAACUUCAACCUAAGCCUUUGCCCAACUUAGAAUGAAUAACAUCAGACAUAUAAUUCAAUCCCUUUCUGAUAUCUCUUAAACGACCAGAACCAUAAGCAUCAUGAUUGGUGCUGGAUUGCCACUCCCCCUCAAAGAGACUGUACCUAGCCUGCUAUCACUUUCCACCAGAAACAACCCGUACUAAUGAGAAAUCUCCACAGCCAUUUGGCUAAGAGAGCCUUUUGAUGUAUGUACUCCUUAAAUUACUUAUCACAUGCUCUGCUACAUGAUUGGUGCUGGAUUGCCACUCCCCCUCUAAGAGACUGUACCUAGCCUGGUAUUACUUUCCACCAGAAACAACCCGUACUAAUGAGAAAUCUAAACAGCCAUUUGGCUAAGAGAGCCUUUUGAUGUAUGUACUCCUUAAAUUACUUUUCACAUGCUCAGCUACAGGAUCCUCACAGUAUAUCUGCUCAAUUUCUUUACAGUCAGCAUGUACUUGAGUAUUUUCAAGAGUGUUGAUUUAGUUCUGUUACAAGCUUUUGUUUUUUUGAUAUUAUUAACAGGGUCGCUUCUAGAACCCAAAGUGCUCAGAUGCUACAGCCAAUUUAAUCCUAUUUUUGUUUGGGACUUACAUUCUAAUAUGAUAGUUAACAUAAUCUUCUGUGCUGGAAUUUGUAAGGGAACCUCUCCUCGAGAGGAUAUGUCCAAGCUUACAUGUUUUUCUGAUAUUGAUCUAACAGUGAUUGGAUUUUCUCAAUAAUAAAGUUUCUUGAUAGGUUUCUUAUUAGAGCAUUGAAUACAUUUUUAUUAUCUGUUGCUUGGUAACCCC